CCCUUAGAUGUUCUGGGCUGCACGCGCGCUACACUGAUGCGAUCAACAAGUUUUUCCUAUGUCGAUAGACACGGGUAAUCUUUUGAACUCGCAUCGUGAUGGGGAUAGAUUAUUGUAAUUAUUAAUCUUCAACGAGGAAUUCCUAGUAGGUGUAAAUCAUCAGUUUGCAUCGAUUACGUCCCUGCCCUUUGUACACACCGCCCGUCGCUGCUACCGAUUGGUUGAUCUGGUGAAUUAUUCGGACUGCCGGCUGAAGGGGUUUCCUCAUCUGCCAGCGGAAAGUCUUGUUAACCCUAUCAACUAGAGGAAGCAGAAGUCGUAACA
rnacentral:rRNA from 1 species